rnacentral:rRNA from 1 species
CAAUAGCGUAUAUUAAAGUUGUUGCAGUUAAAAAGCUCGUAGUUGGAUUUCUGGUUGAAGCGACCGGUCGGGCGUUGAUUCGUCUGCACUGGAGUCGGUUUUGGCCAUCCUCUAGGAAAGUGCGUCUGGUAUUAAGUUAUCGGGCGUAUGAUCCUGGUCUUUUACUGUGAAAAAAUUAGAGUGUUUAAAGCAGGCCUUGCCUUGAAUACAUUAGCAUGGAAUAAUAAGAUAGGACUUUGGUCUAUUUUGUUGGUUUGCAGACCGAAGUAAUGAUUAAUAGGGAUAGUUGGGGGUAUUUAUAUUCCGAUGUCAGAGGUGAAAUUCUUAGAUUUUCGGAAGAUAAACUUAUGCGAAAGCAUUUACCAAGGAUGUUUNCAUUAA